rnacentral:lncRNA from 1 species
UGUUCUGGUCCCCAUUCCCCGCUCCUGUUCUCCAGUAAAUUUUCCGGCUCUUAACCCUUGUUACUCCCUGCAGCUCAUUGUCCAGCCUCGGGGGACACAGACGCAGCACACUUGACAUCCAGCAGUUCCCCUGUGUCGCUCGAUUCCACUCAACCCAGCUGUCCUGGGAAUCUUCCCGAAAGAGCUGAAGUAUCAGGACUUGAUUCCACAGAACGCACCCAGUGUUCCCACCAGCUGAACAGAGGAGGCUGGUUUCCCAGGCAGAAAAAACAGAACAAAAAGCGAAUUUCGAGGUUGCUUCGCUGGUCAGGUAGGCCCGGGAGACAGGGCCACUGCAGAGUGACCACUAGUGACCGGGACGGGGAGAGCGGCUUGGGAACCGGCGUCUGCAGUCCUGAGUUCUGGGAAAUCAGUGCCAGCCAGCUCUGUUUCGGUGGAGCCUUAGCCCGAGCCACCCCAUUUGUAUUUCUAGCCUGGUCUCUGGGGGAAUUUAGUCCAGAGUAAUGGCUUCUUGUAUCUUUCAUUUAACAAGACCAACAACCUUCCUCAAACCCUGAACAACUCACAAUGCUGCUCUCAGAGGCCCCACUGUUAAAAUUCUUGUAUUUAAGUCGUUCUUUUUAAAAACAGAAAAUGCCAUACAUAAAAAUAGACCGCCGUGCCUCCCCCCGGACCCGGUACCCAGCUACAAAACCGGGCAGCCCUGCUCCCAGGGGCUU